rnacentral:tRNA from 1 species
UCCGGGGUGGCGCAAUCGGCAGCGCAGCUCCCUGUUAAGGAGACGGUUGUGGGUUCGAGUCCCACCCCCGGAG